rnacentral:rRNA from 1 species
GUGUCAGCAGCCGCGGUAAUACAGAGACCUCAAGCAUUAUCCGGAUUUAUUGGGCGUAAAGGGUCCGCAGGCGGCACGUUAAGUCUCUCGUCAAAUCUAUGGGCUCAACCCAUAGGCUGCGGGGGAAACUGGCGAGCUAGAGGUUGGGAGAGGUGAGCGGAAUUACCGGUGUAGUAGUAAAAUGCGUUAAUAUCGGUAAGAACACCAAAGGCGAAGGCAGCUCACUGGAACACACCUGACGCUAAGGGACGAAAGCACGGGGAGCGAAGCGGAUUAGAAACCCGAGUAGUCC